UCUCCGUUGGUGAACCAGCGGAGGGAUCAUUACAGGACUCGCAAGACUCCUACAACCCUGUGAACUUAACUAUAAGCACGUUGCUUCGGCGGGUGUCUCGGAGGGGGUUCUCCCUCCCCAGACGCUAAACCCGCCGGCAGCCUACUAUACUCUGUCUCUUUGCGUUGGCAUCUCGAGUACAAUCAAACAAGUUAAAACUUUCAACAACGGAUCUCUUGGUUCUG
rnacentral:misc_RNA from 1 species